UACAGAGGGGGCAAGCGUUGUUCGGAAUUACUGGGCGUAAAGGGCGCGUAGGCGGCCGCCUAAGUCAGACGUGAAAUCCCUCGGCUCAACCGGGGAACUGCGUCUGAUACUGGGUGGCUUGAAUCCGGGAGAGGGAUGCGGAAUUCCAGGUGUAGCGGUGAAAUGCGUAGAGAUCAGGAGGAACACCCGUGGCGAAGGCGGCCCUCUGGCUCGACCCUGACGCUGAGGCGCGAAAGCGUGGGGAGCGAACGGG
rnacentral:rRNA from 1 species